AUAUGCAUCUACCUGCACAAAUGAUGGUAUAUAUAUUUGUUGUCCGACUAAAUUGAAGUAAUUCCUAAUGUCACGAUAGUGAUGUUAAUUUACUAUUGUUCUGAAGAAUUAAGAAAUUAGGUUGGGUAUUGUAAUCAAUCAUGUUAAAUUGCGCAACUAACUGGUAAAUUAUUUAAAACCUAAACUACCUCUUUCACUACUAAUAUAUACGAGCAUCAACGAUCAUCUCACCUCAAAAAUCAGAUUAUAAGAUAGGUAAUUCAACUACUCAAACCAUCCGAAUGAGAAUGCCAUGCUAAUCA
rnacentral:lncRNA from 1 species